GGGGGGAGGGGGAACCAGUCUGCAGACAAGAAGGGGAGCAGGGAGCAGGCGGAGUGGGAGUUACCUUCUCCUGUUCUCUGUUCUCCUUCUGACUGCAGGAGCAAAGGGCAUG
rnacentral:miRNA from 1 species